rnacentral:rRNA from 1 species
UCUUUAAUGGAGAGUUUGAUCCUGGCUCAGGACGAACGCUGGCGGCGUGCCUAAUACAUGCAAGUCGAGCGGGGUUGAUUAGAAGCUUGCUUCUAAUCAACCUAGCGGCGGACGGGUGAGUAACACGUAGGCAACCUGCCCACAAGACAGGGAUAACUACCGGAAACGGUAGCUAAUACCCGAUACAUCCUUUUCCUGCAUGGGAGAGGGAGGAAAGACGGAGCAAUCUGUCACUUGUGGAUGGGCCUGCGGCGCAUUAGCUAGUUGGUGGGGUAAAGGCCUACCAAGGCGACGAUGCGUAGCCGACCUGAGAGGGUGAUCGGCCACACUGGGAC